rnacentral:snRNA from 1 species
AUGUAGAAGCUUUGCACAAUGGCAGUAUUGUAGCCAAUGAGGUUUAUUUUAGGCGCGAUUUUAUUGCUAAUUGAAAACUUUUCCCAAAAGUUACAUGUAUAAAUAAUAGGAGACAAAUGCACGCGGUGAUUACUUUCGAUACUAUUAACCCACUAAUGUGUGGUAUGCUUAAAGAAGU